rnacentral:lncRNA from 1 species
GUUCGUCGAUUGGCCCCGACGAACACGCCAGCCAUCUUAAACAAACGCAACUCGAUCACUCUUUUGAUCUUUAAAACGUCCAACGCAAGGAAGAAAGCGCGCUACAACAAAAAUCCAAAAUUUUGGUUUAGCACUUCCAGUUGGCUUAAAAAUUAUCUCUGAGAAGAUGCUCUAUUCGUACCAUACAAGUCGUAUAAGCCGAGAACCUAUCGCGGACUUCAAAUCGGUACGAAUCAGAAAGAAAUCGCAACAGGAAAAAUGAUAGCCGGCUAGUCACCGCACAAACCUUAACCGAAAGUAAACCUAGGUCUUGCCCUAAACCCAUCGCAUUGGUCUCAAACAUCUCAAGACAUGAUAUCUAAAUGAUACGAGAUCUUAAACCAUGUCUCUCCGUUCACAUCUCAACGUUC